UAGGGAAUCUUCGGCAAUGGGGGGAACCCUGACCGAGCAACGCCGCGUGAGUGAAGAAGGUUUUCGGAUCGUAAAGCUCUGUUGUUAAGGAAGAACGAGUGUGAGAAUGGAAAGUUCAUGCUGUGACGGUACUUAACCAGAAAGGGACGGCUAACUACGUGCCAGCAGCCGCGGUAAUACGUAGGUCCCGAGCGUUGUCCGGAUUUAUUGGGCGUAAAGCGAGCGCAGGCGGUCAAUUAAGUCUGAUGUGAAAGCCCCCGGCUCAACCGGGGAGGGUCAUUGGAAACUGGUUGACUUGAGUGCAGAAGAGGAGAGUGGAGUUCCAUGUGUAGCGGUGAAAUGCGUAGAUAUAUGGAGGAACACCAGUGGCGAAGGCGACUCUCUGGUCUGUAACUGACGCUGAGGCUCGAAAGCGUGGGUAGCAAACAGG
rnacentral:rRNA from 1 species